AGCGAACGCUGGUGGCAGGCUUAACACAUGCAAGUCGAGCGGGCACUUCGGUGUCAGCGGCAGACGGGUGAGUAACACGUGGGAACGUACCCUUUGGUUCGGAAUAACGCUGGGAAACUAGCGCUAAUACCGGAUACGCCCUUUUGGGGAAAGGCUUGCUGCCGAAGGAUCGGCCCGCGUCUGAUUAGCUAGUUGGUGGGGUAAUGGCCUACCAAGGCGACGAUCAGUAGCUGGUCUGAGAGGAUGAUCAGCCACACUGGGACUGAGACACGGCCCAGACUCCUACGGGAGGCAGCAGUGGGGAAUAUUGGACAAUGGGCGCAAGCCUGAUCCAGCCAUGCCGCGUGAGUGAUGAAGGCCUUAGGGUUGUAAAGCUCUUUUGUCCGGGACGAUAAUGACGGUACCGGAAGAAUAAGCCCCGGCUAACUUCGUG
rnacentral:rRNA from 1 species